rnacentral:rRNA from 1 species
UACGUAGGGUGCGAGCGUUAAUCGGAAUUACUGGGCGUAAAGCGUGCGCAGGCGGUUUUGUAAGCCAGAUGUGAAAUCCCCGGGCUUAACCUGGGAAUGGCAUUGGUGACUGUACGGCUAGAGUGUGUCAGAGGGGGGUAGAAUUCCACGUGUAGCAGUGAAAUGCGUAGAGAUGUGGAGGAAUACCGAUGGCGAAGGCAGCCCCCUGGGAUAACACUGACGCUCAUGCACGAAAGCGUGGGGAGCAAACAGG